rnacentral:rRNA from 1 species
UACGGGGGGAGCAAGCGUUGUUCGGAUUUACUGGGCGUAAAGGGCGCGUAGGCGGCAAAUUAAGUCAGCUGUGAAAUCUCCGAGCUUAACUCGGAACGGUCAGCUGAUACUGAUCUGCUAGAGUGCGGAAGGGGCAAUCGGAAUUCUUGGUGUAGCGGUGAAAUGCGCAGAUAUCAGGAGGAACACCGGUGGCGAAGGCGGGUCUCUGGGCAACAACUGACGCUGAGGAGCGAAAGCGUGGGGAGCGAACAGG